rnacentral:rRNA from 1 species
UACGGGGGGGGCAAGCGUUGUUCGGAAUUACUGGGCGUAAAGGGCUCGUAGGUGGCCAACUAAGUCAGACGUGAAAUCCCCCGGCUUAACCGGGAAACUGCGUCUGAUACUGGAUGGCUUGAGUUCGGGAGAGGGAUGCGGAAUUCCAGGUGUAGCGGUGAAAUGCGUAGAUAUCUGGAGGAACACCGGUGGCGAAGGCGGCAUCCUGGACCGACACUGACGCUGAGGAGCGAAAGCCAGGGGAGCAAACGGG